UCCAAACACAGGGGACAUAUAUGUCACUUUGCUCACAAGAGAGACUCCCACCAACCUGUUGUUCCCUUCCACUCCACUGCACCCACCAGGGCAUUUGCAUACUGUCCCCUAGGGAGGGCCUUCCCUUGUGAGUCUGAGAUAAAGCUCAUGCCUAACCUGGCCUGGACUGACCAGGACUCCUCAGUCCAACUUCUCAAAAUGAGGCUCCUUGCUCAGCUCCUGGGGCUGCUGGUGCUCUGGGUUCCUGGAUCCAGUGGAGAUAUUGUGAUGACUCAGACUCCACUGUCCCUGCCUGUCACCCCUGGAGAGACGGCCUCCAUCUCCUGCAGGGCUAGUGAGAGCAUCACAACCAGUAAAGGAAAUAUCUUUUUGCAUUGGUUGCUGCAGAAGCCAGGCCAACCUCCAAAGCUCCUGAUUUAUAAGAUUUCUAACCGGGACACUGGGGUCUCAGACAGGUUCAGUGGCAGUGGGUCAGGGACAGAUUUCACACUGACAAUCAGCAAGGUGGAGGCUGAGGAUGUGGGAGUGUAUUACUGCAUGCAAGGUUCAUAUUAUCCUCACACAGUGAUACAGCCCCGAACACAAACCUCCAUGCUUGGGGUGGCCCAGCUGCCCAACUGUGCUGUUUGUCUGGUGACAGCUCAGCAGAAUCUCUGGCUGUAG